rnacentral:rRNA from 1 species
GUGAGGAAUAUUGGUCAAUGGACGAGAGUCUGAACCAGCCAAGUAGCGUGAAGGAUGACUGCCCUAUGGGUUGUAAACUUCUUUUAUAAGGGAAUAAAGUGAGGGACGUGUCCCUUUUUGUAUGUACCUUAUGAAUAAGGAUCGGCUAACUCCGUGCCAGCAGCCGCGGUAAUACGGAGGAUCCGAGCGUUAUCCGGAUUUAUUGGGUUUAAAGGGAGCGUAGGUUGACAUAUAAGUCAGCUGUGAAAGUUUACGGCUCAACCGUGAAAUUGCAGUUGAUACUGUAUGUCUUGAGUGUACAAGAGGUGGGCGGAAUUCGUGGUGUAGCGGUGAAAUGCUUAGAUAUCACGAAGAACUCCAAUUGCGAAGGCAGCUCACUGGGGUACAACUGACACUGAGGCUCGAAAGUGUGGGUAUCAAACAGGAUUAGAAACCCCUGUAGUCC